rnacentral:rRNA from 1 species
GCUACGGGAGGCAGCAGUGAGGAAUAUUGGGCAAUGGACGAGAGCCUGAACCAGCCAAGUAGCGUGAAGGAUGAAGGCCCUACGGGUUUUAAACUUCUUUGAUAAAGGAAUAAAGUGAGGCACGUGUGCCUUUUUGUAUUUACUUUAUGAAUAAGGCUCGGCUAACUCCGUUCCAUCAGCCGCGGUAAUACGGGGGAACCGAGCGUGAUCCGGAUUUAUUGGGUGUAAAGGGAGCGUAGAUGGGUUGUUAAGUCGGAUGUGAACGUUUGCGGCUCAACUGUAAAAGUGCCAUUGAUACUGGAAGUCUUGAGUACAGUUGAGGUAGGCGGAAUUCGUGGUGUAGCGGUGAAAUGCUUAGAUAUCACGAAGAACUCCGAUUGCGAAGGCAGCUUACUAAACUGCCACUGACAUUGAUGCUCGAAAGUGUGGGUAGCAAACAGGAUUAGAUACCCGAGUAGUC